AUAACAGGUAUAUGAUAUCCUAACCACUGACCAUGUGUUGUUUACAGGUUCACAAAAAUAGAGACGAAGGACUACCUGCAUACGCAACCAAAGACAACUCCAGCAUUUCUGAUGAAAACAAAGAGCAGAAUAGUUUCUUUGUACCAGAGAGUGAGACGUCAGCGCCCGACUACUGGAGGGAAAGCUCAGGUGAUCAGAGCCAAGGUGCUGCCUCUCCUGUGCCACUAAAGAAGGAUGUUGAGAACAUGGAGAAAGGUAAAGAUUGUUAAUUUGAGGAACACAGGUUGUAUGUAAAUAUUCUCACUCC
rnacentral:lncRNA from 15 species